GACGAACGCUGGCGGCGUGCUUAACACAUGCAAGUCGAACGAAGUGGCGAACGGGUGAGUAACGCGUAAUCAACCUGCCCUUCAGAGGGGGACAACAGUGGGAAACGACUGCUAAUCCCGCAUACUGAAGGUGGGGAUUGCGUCUGAUUAGCUAGUUGGGGGGGUAACGGCCAACCAAGGAGAUGAUCAGUCGCCGGUCUGGGAGGAUGAGCCGCCACAUUGGGACUGAGAAAAGGCCCAGACGCCUUCGGGAGGUAGAAGUGGGGAAACUUCCGCAAUGGAGGAAAGUCUGACGGAGCAGAGGCGCGGGAGGGAUGACGGCCUUCGGGUUGUAAAGCUCUGUUAAUCGGGACGCGGUACCGGAAUAGAAAGCCACGGCUAACUACGUGCCAGCCGCCGCGGUAAUAC
rnacentral:rRNA from 1 species